AUUGAACGCUGGCGGCAGGCUUAACACAUGCAAGUCGAGCGGAGAGAGGUAGCUUGCUACUGAUCUUAGCGGCGGACGGGUGAGUAAUGCUUAGGAAUCUGCCUAUUAGUGGGGGACAACAUUUCGAAAGGAAUGCUAAUACCGCAUACGUCCUACGGGAGAAGGCAGGUGAUCUUCGGACCUUGCGCUAAUAGAUGAGCCUAAGUCGGAUUAGCUAGGUGGUGGGGUAAAGGCCUACCAAGGCGACGAUCUGGAGCGGGUCUGAGAGGAUGAUCCGCCACACUGGGACUGAGACACGGCCCAGACUCCUACGGGAGGCAGCAGUGGGGAAUAUUGGACAAUGGGCGGAAGCCUGAUCCAGCCAUGCCGCGUGUGUGAAGAAGGCCUUAUGGUUGUAAAGCACUUCAAGCGAGGAGGAGGCUACUUUAGUUAAUACCUAGAGAUAGUGGACGUUACUCGCAGAAUAAGCACCGGCUAACUCUGUGCCAGCCGCCGCAGUAA
rnacentral:rRNA from 1 species